GGCACAAAAAAGCCAAGCAAAUUAUACUUUGCAUAAGGUUUAGUAGCAGCCUACGAAACAUGCUGUUGUUGGAGGGCUUGUUCCUUGGCACGAAGGUAUACUUUCUCUCUUCUUUUAGUGCCUAGUGCCUUGUUGACGAUGCUCUAAGAAUGCCACCGUACCAUUGCUGAUCAUUUAUGGGGCCGAACUCCCGAGGUCCUCCGCUCACUAAUGUAUGAUGUAUGUUUUGUUUGGGUGUUUGGUUGGAAGCUAACAAUAGGCAAUGCAAAAAAUUGACAACCAAAUUUUCUUGUACUUGUUUUUUUUUUGUGUCAAAACUAGCAUGAUGGCACUCGCAAAUGCGAGAGCAUGAUCCGAUAUGCAGACAAAUUCUUUGUUUAGUAUGCUAAAUAUUUUUUUAAGAAUUUUAUGGCCUUAUUUAGACAUAAUACAUAUUUAUGUCUUCUAAAAUUACCUAGAAAUAGGAACAACGGACAUGCAGUAGUUAGAUAGAACAAUAUCUUUUUUUUUAGCUUUAGAUAGAAUAAUAUCCGAAAAGAAAAAAUUGAACUUCGAUUCAGACUUUUUUGUUAUUUAGAAACAAUGGAAAUACAAUUGUCAGAAGCAAUAGAUGACAAAUAUUCAGAAAAAAAACCAUAAACGUCUAACAUCUUACUAUGUGCAGGAUUACCCCAAUUUAACUGAUGAUCAACACAGGGCAAUGCAACGGAAUGCAUCUUCUCUCUUAAAGGUG
rnacentral:lncRNA from 1 species